rnacentral:lncRNA from 1 species
ACUACCAGCAAAGGUCCUCCAUAGAUGCAGAACACGUACACAAGUCCUUUUGCUGCUACAAGACAGUAGAGACUGUAAAUCAUAGCUAAAAUUCCAGCAUCAGAAAUGAAAAUUUGGAGCCUCUCGCGGUCUGAGUAGAUGGGGCCAUAAGGAUCAAAGUGGCAAGCAAAUCUAUCAUAAGGCCUACCGGAUACAUUGAAUGCCAGGUACAAAGGCCAGCCAAGGGUGAGGGUGACAGUAAGUGUUAUGACUCGGCCAAGUGGGUUGUUAAGGUACUUGGCAUACCAACCAAUGGCGGUUUUUUGCUUGGGGACAAAUACUUCAUCACGAUCAAGGGAUCCUGUAUUGGAGUGAUGGCGGCGAUGGCUAUACUUCCAAGAGAAGUAGGGGACAAGGAGGCAAGAGUGGAGGAUAAGGCCAACAGUGUCGUCAAGCCAUUGAUAGUCACUGAAGGCAUGGUGGCCACAUUCAUGAGCUACAACCCAAACUCCAGUUAAAAUGCAGCCUUGAAGAGCCCAGUAAACUGGCCAGGCCAGAUAAGAGAGAGGGUGAGGAAGUUGGUGAAUGUAAGUGUCGGCAAUGUAGUAAAAGACAAAGGCAAUGGUGAGGUCAUGAACAACGUAGGAGAAUGAACGGAGAACAGACCGCUCAAAACAGUGAGGUGGGAUAGCUUUCUUUACUUGGCUGAGUGUGAAUGGUGGCUUUGAGCAUGGAACUCGCUUCAAGGGAUCAGAAUCCACCUUCAUGGGCGUUGAAGGUACAGCCAUUCGUCCACCUGCACCCAUUGUUCGUCAACCUGGCCACAGUAUACAAGUAUACAAUCAACUUCAAGCAAACAGCUGUUUGUAAAUAACGCUACACAGAAAAAAUCAAAAGCAGAAAUUAAGGCGCCCACUUUAAAGACCAGAUUAUGGCCAACCAAAGGCCUAGUUCAACUAAAAAAUAACCUUAAUAUUAAUUUAAUUAUUUUUCCUUUCUAAUUUGUCAUCAAAUUCUGAGUCCAACUGAGACUACUUUCAUAAAUUAAAAGGUGCCAAAUUUCUUACAGAAAAAAAAGGUAAGGGAAAUUAUUUAUAUGACUAAUAAAGAGAGAGGAUUUAAAAAAAAAAAAACUGAACAAAAGUAAUUAUGAGAAGCAUAGAACUGUAAAGCAACAAAUGCUUUGUUGAAAUUGCUAGUACCCAAGAUACAAUCUACUACUGUAUUAUAAAGCUAGUAAUUCCAAAUGUUAGUCACUGGUAUUACUCUAUCAUCCACAAUGGUGACAAGUUAAUUGUCAAAUAAAUGAUCCCAUAGCAAAUUUCCCAUGAGGAAAACGACCAUACUUUAAUUGAUUAGCGUUAACUAUUAGAACUCGUUUGGUAUGCAAGAUAAGCUUAACAAAAAUAUCUUGGAAGCUUAAAAUGGUAGUCACAAUUGUAUUAUCACACCACCACCCAAUAAAAUUUUGUCACACAUACACAAUGCACUAAUGAUAUAUUUAUUAUAAAUAAGUUAAUAAAUACAUUAUGCAUAUGUAUGGCAAAACAUCAUUGGGUGGUAGUAUGGGGACAUAAGAGUGAUGACACCAACAAAGACUUUUUCGAAAGACAAAUUAUUGUGAAUUUCGUUGGGGGAUAGAGAUCCUCUCCUAGUUCUUUUUUUUUUUAUUCUCCUCAUAGCUCUCUUAGUUUAAUGAGUGGCUAAAAUUGAGUUUUUAAUUUUGGUGUUGAUAAUCAAGUCAGUUUUUUUCACUAAAUUUAAAAAACUUAAAAGAGACUAAGCGAGAAUAAAAUUAAGACAGGAUCCUAAUUCCUUAUUGGGACACAGAUCCAGGGUUCAAAUCUCCAAUUUUGGAGCCACUUAAUUUAUUGUUUAGCAAUUUUCCAUUGAAUAUUUUUUAAAGCAUGCAUCAAAAUUUCACAACUAAUACUUAUUACUUAUUAUUUACAAUAAAAUAAUUAAAUUACAAUAAGAGAUGCAUUCUGUAAUAGGAAUUAUAAUAACUUGACGAUGAAAAGGGGGCCACGCUUGAAUUUUUCUUUUUUCUUUUUAAUCAACAUCUAAUGAUGCAAUUUCCACACGUGGACAGUUACAACAAAGCAAUGAAAUUUCAAAUUAUGGACAAGUAAAGAUGCAUAAUUAUUUACAAAUAAAUUUAUGAUUAUUCCUCAAUUAUAAUGUAAAGACGUCAAAACACUUGUAGUGAUUAGACUAGAGACUCACUACAAGGCUUCAAAAACAGAGAUUUGAAGUUAAUUCAGCGGCCCACUUCAAGAUCAGAUUAGACAAACCGAAGACCCACAUUGACCUACAAUUAUAUUUUAUAGGAAUGUUCGCAGAUCAAAUUUUGUAGUUUGCAUAUUAAUUCAUAUCUGAUUCACUAUUUUACGGAUUAUAAAUUUUUUAAUCUAAUCUAAUCUACGGAUUGGUGAAAUUAACUUCAAAUUCAAUCCAUACAUCUAUGGAUUAGAUGUGGAUUUGACCUAAUUUAUAUCCAAUCCACUAUUUUGUGAAUUGGUUUGCAGGCUAAAAUUUUUUACUUCCAUACUAUCCACAAACUAACUAAAUAAAAAAAUUAAUAUAAAAAUAAUUUUCCUACCGAUCAAAUUCAAGAUUAAAUAAGAUUUAAAUAAAUUAGUUACUUAAAUAUAACUAGAAAAUACAUUUAAAGUUUAAAAUAUAACACAUCAAAAAGAAAAAUAUCUCAUUUAUUUAAAUCAGUAUAUGAAAAUUAACUGCUUAGGAAGUUAUAUUUGUUUAUUUAAUUAUUUUUAUUUUAUAUUAUUAUCGAAUAAGAUAUAAUGUGGUAUUAAUGUAACUAUAUUCUAUAAUAUGGUAUUAAUGUAACUAUAUUCUAACCAUUUAUUUAUUAGUAAGUUCUGAUGCCAUAUUUAGAAGUUUUAAGUUUUUUAAUUAUAUCUACAGAUUCGCAGAUUUUUACAUAUCUACUGUAAAUUUUUAAAAUUUCAAUCAAAUUCAAUCUAAUUUACGAAUCAGAUUUUUACAAAUCAAACCAAUUGAACAAAUCGGAUCGAAUUGGAAUCUAAACACCUUUAAUAUUUUAUAUUUUUCCUUUCCGAGUUGUCAGUUCACAUGACAGUAUGACACGGUCCAUCACUUUCAUAAACCAAAAAAGUGCUAACUGUUUAAAGCUAAUAAAAAUGAUAUCAAUAAGUUGUGAAAACCAAGGCUGACCAAAGACAUGUAAUCACGUGACCCAUAGAAGUUUAGCAAAGAUUAGAAAACAAGUAGUUGACACUGAAAUUGCCACGGCCCCACCAUGCCACCAUCUGCUAAUGACAGCUAUUGUAUUAUAUAAUUAUAAGUAGCCACUAGCCACUGAAAUCACUCAGCAUCAGGUGAGACUGAUCAGUGAUGUCCAAAAAAUGGUGUAUACGCGUAAAGCGCACUCAUACCAUUCGUGUGGUAGCUUUUAUAUCAUCAUCCUUGCCCUUUAUGGUCGGUCAGCCGAGCUUUUGGAAAACGAUGUGCAAUAAAAAAAAAAUAUCAGCACAUUCAAUGGAGCUUAUUAAUCGGAAUUGUACUGUUUAAGUUAAAAAUAUAUACAUUUAUAAAGUACACAACAAAUUCUAUUAGUCAGAUUUUAUUAGAAGUCUAAAAUCAAAUAUUUGCAGUACAUUUUAAAAAACUGACUACUAACUUAAAAAAUUUGCUUCCAUAAAUAUUAGGGUAAUGAUACUUUACAUCCAAAAUUUCCCCAUGAGAGAAAUCGAAUCCUAUUAGGGGAGGGUGUGAGUUCACCAUUUGACAACUAAGCCCAAUAGCCAUCAAGGGAUCCUAUUAACGAAAUGAAAGCCUACCUUACAAUAACCAUAAGAAAUCUUCUUGUUCUUCGUUUAUUUAUUUUGAUGAAUCUUGUUCUUCUUGAUCACAAGUUUUUAUCAAAUUCUUACGCGACCUAAACUCUACAAUAAGAGUCAAAAUGAAAAGGAAACUCUUCCGAACACAUUUCAAAAAGUCAUACUUAAUUAUUAAACAUAACGCUGAAAAUUCGUGUAUAACUAUGCAGAAGAUAUAAUCGUGCAAUGAACCAAGCCAGCUUCCACAAAAACUCUGGGCCAUCGUAUUUAAUUAGUGCCGAUUUAUUGGAAAAACAAGGUCUACUCUGAAUGCAACUUUAGACGAAGACUCAAAAGAAGCCGUCUCAAAUUAUAAACGUAUAGGUUUAUCAAGUGAUCAAACAGAGUCUACAUCAGCCGAUAACGUGGAAUUAGAGCAUAAAUACCAGUAUUAUAUGAUAUUAGCCUAAUUAAUACCUCUUAAUCAAAUUCAAAGUCCAAAAUUUUGACAAUUAUUAUUGUUAUUAUUUUCACACGAUUUUGAAGGGACUCAGACCUAAAUAAAGGAAAAAGGUAUCAAGCAACUCAAAAAAUUGUAAUUUUGUGACGAUUAAAGUCACUCGUUCCUAGCAAGCUAAACUAUAAUUACUACCUGAAGAAAUUCUCUGUUUUCAGACUUACUAAGUAAUAAUAGGUAAGAUACAACUAACUUAUAAUUGACAUAAAGUUUGAACAAUUAUAACCAAAACUUUAAAUUAACAAAUUCAUGAUGGAAAAAAAUUAAGCAUACAAUUCAAAAGCAUGCCACAGACUUGGACCAGAUAUUUUUGUGGAAUAAAAGAACAACUUGCUUUUUAACAUGUUUGGCCUACUUGGAGUUGCAACUUGCUUCUAAUUUUUUAUUAUAAAAGUAUCAUGAGGAAAAGAGUUGAAAUUAUUUAUUUAUUUGAUUAUUAUUAAUUCUUUUUGAAGUGCUUAUGAGAAGACGAAACAGGACAGACAACAAGAUGGGAUUCUUUGCAAACACCGAGGAGUGACAAGAGUCGCUUCUACAUCCUAGUGAGUAGUGGGUGCAUGUACAUGAUUCCUGAAAUUUAAUACUAUACAGACCGAUUUUAUAACAAACGAAGACUAUAAUAAUAAUAUUUAAUAAAAUAAAAUACGAAUAAUUCUUUUAAAAUACCAUCAUAAAAAUUGACAUUAAAGACUGGCCGCCGCCCGUCAGAGCUCAACAUAAAUAAUAAUAAAAAGUAUGAAAACUGACAAAUAGAUUUCAAAAGUAAUGGAAUGCUCUCGGCGAAGACGGACAAAUGCACUUCGUGAUUCAUAAAAAAAAAUGUUUAAAUUAAUAAAUCAAAUUCACAUGGGAGCAUAAUUUGUUUUCUGAAAACAAAAACAAAAGGAAUCUGCAGGCAAGGGAUCCAGGACUUCCAAAUAUCACGCACAUAAUCGGAAAAAAAAAUGAAAAUCCAGAAAAGCACAGACGAUUUCCAGAAAUGAGGCUCAGAUCCGGCGCAUUGAACAUUAAAACGAAAAAAGAAACUCAAAAUUCCACAAUAUCUCAGCUGCAUUAUAUUCAAAUCUCAAUCGAAUAUCGAUCCAGAUUUUAGACGAGCUAAAAAUCUGCGCAUGACAGCGCAAAAUCAGAAGCUAACAAGAUCUCAUAAUCGAUGAAAAAUGGAGCUAGAUCUAGCCUAAAUGUUUCGCCAUUGAAUUUAAGUACACAUUUUUUCAUCUUAUAUUUACUCAAACAGAAACAGAGGAAUUAGAAAAUGCGAACGAAUAAAUAUGGAAAUUUAAGAAUUUAAAAUAAAGCAAAAUAAAUUAAUAAUAAUAAGUACCUGAAGAAGCGAAGCACUUGGACUGCAAAGAAGAAGAAAAUGAGAGACCUCACUUUCUCUCCCUCUCUCUUUCUCGCCUUCGCCGGCCGCGUUGUGAGUUGUAAACGUUCGGCUCUCUUCAACUGAAAGCCCGAGAGCUCCGUAUUUAAGCUGAUCUUUCCCUCCUAGAGUGGGCCCCACUUGAUACGCGUCGUUUGGGUUUUUUUUCCAUACACACAGGACUGGUCCGAUACCAUUUCUUUACGUGGACGGACCCAAAUAAGUGUGCGUGGCCUCCCAAGAAAAGUGUUCGUGUCCUCAGUUAUUUGACCGAAUUACCCUUUCAUUCUGUCCGUCCAUACACGGCAUCUUUUCUUUUUAAAGACAACCACCAGUGGAAAUUCGACUUUUGGUUGCUAAAAUAUCUCGGAGUGUAUCACGUUCACGGGGAGAUGCUGAUAUGACGACAAUGCCCUUUUUAAUUGGCUUAGUAUUUUGAUUGGACAAGUAACGUGUAAGUUAGAAGUUAAGUUAAUUUAAUUUAUGACUUAUAUAAUAAUAAAUUUAGGUCUUAUUUAAGUUCUAUUUGUUAUUGAAGUGUUGUAGUUUUUAAUUUAUAAUUAUUAUUAAAAAAUUAUAACUAUAAAAUAAAAAUUAAUAGUACGUAAUAAAUAUAAUUUUAACAAAAUUAGUGAAAAUAUAAUAUAUUUUUCAUCACACAAUAAUAGAAUCAAAUCAACUUAAAAGUUACAAUAAUCUAACAUCAAUCCCAAAUAAAACUUGAAUAUUGAUGUUAGGUAUUUGUAACUUAAAAUUUUUUAAAUAAUAUUAUUAAAAUAUUAGGUAAAUAUCAUAUGUUGUAGCUUUGAAACUUGGUUAAUUUAAUCAAACACUUUGCAUGAACAAAAACUUAAAAAUAUUAUAAUAUUUUUUGUCACGACAACGAUAGUUUAAAAGAUAUAAUACUUUAAUACCAAAUACACUCUUAUAAUGUUUAUUAUUUUUAUUAAUAUUAUUAUUUAACAAUCAUAUUUAUCGCAUUUUAUUUAUUUUUAUUUUAUAAUUAUAAUUUUUUUUACAAUACAAUUAUAACUUAUAAGUUACCGUGCCUUCCUUAAUAAUACUGAAUAUGACAUUAAUGGAACGCCGUAUCAUCUGAUUUGAUUUCGAGUAUCUUAAGAUUUUAUUAAUAAUAUAUAGGGGAAAAAAAAUUGUGCGGAACAGUCUACUACUAGAUUAGUAGACCUCACAUUAGACCUAUUAGUUUUAAUAAUUAAAAAAAACUCAAUGGGUCCCACUACUGUUUUACUGUAUAAGAGAAAAAUUCGCAGACUGUGGCACGGGGAUAGGCCACGCAAGCUUUUUUAAUAUAUAAAUCAACCGAUAACCGUAAACCUUACAGUAAUCUCAUACGACGCUUGAGGGCGCGCCUACUACUGCUACUAUUUUUCAAAUUAAACUAUUCAAAUUGUUUUGAAAUUAUAGCGGCGAAAAAAAAAGAAAGUUGCCAAAUAAAUUUCUUUCGUAAUUUUUAUCUUAAAAAUUGCGUUGCGUGAAUAAAAAUGAAAAUAUUUAUUUCGUGGGCAACAUUGUUCAACUAUCAACUACAAUGAAUUGUUAUAAUCAGGGACAUUAAUUUUAUAUCAAACAACUAAUUAAAUAAAUAAAUCAUGUGCGCAAGCAUGCUCCGCAAUAUUAGCGUUAGCCCCCUAAUAAAAUAUUAUUCAAACAUUUAUAUUUUUAUUGUUGAUUAUUUGGGUACGGCAUUAAAAAUAGAAAGUCAGAAUGAAGCUGCAAAUAAUUAAAUUUCAAAGCAUGGGAAAACAGUUAUUACAAGUAGUUUUGGCGGUGGGAUGCAACUAUUUGUCAAAGGCAAAUUAAUUAGGCAAGUGGCUGGCUGGCAUUAAGUUGUAUGCAAAGAUUCAAACGCCGCGCAUUUUGGGCGUGUAAUCCGACAAGUUGAUCGAUCUGUCGAUUGUUACGUCAACUCAAGCAAUGAACUUUAAGAUUGAAGAACGCUGUUGUUGGACGACUUUACGAAAGAAUGUUGUUUGUUGAUUUGUGUACAUGAUUUUUAACUCUAAUAAAUUUCUUUUUUAAUGUUGGAUAGCUAGUUUCAAUUAUAACUGUGAACCAAUCAUUGUACCCAAUAAAAUACCCAAAAAAAAAAACGAAAAUUGGUUUUUCUUUUUCCUUUUUUGUUUUUAACAUAUUGCCUCUUCACACCGAUAACUAGUUACCUAUUCACAUGCUAUGACCUUACGGGACAAGAAGGGCAAGGGCGGAUUCAUUCCACUUAUAUGAAUUUAACAUAUAAUUAAAUCACGAAUGUUUUUGUGAUACAUACACACGAAAGAAAUUUAUAACGAGUAAUUUAGGUUUUGUCGUAUACUCAAAUUGAACAGGUCCCCAAGUAAUUUUGUCAGGAGAAGAAAGAAUGAAUUGGCACGUCCCAGAAAAUUUGAGCUGUAAUUAAUUGACUUGACUUAAUACACAUAAUUAAUUUAUGCCGAAAUUAACAAGUUUACCAAAUUACGUUAAAAUUCAUUUUUGGUCUCUUUCACCCUUCGCUCAUCCUAAAGUUGAGGGAGUCCCAUUUUACAUCAAACUAAUAUUAUUAUCAUUUUUUCUAUUCUCUUUCUUCUUCUUUUAUAAUUACGAACUGUCUUUUUCUUAGAAUUAGGUUGCGUUUGAAAUUUUCCUUCUCCAAAGUGGAAAAGGGCGAAACAUUGUGAAAUCCAUGUAAAACAUUUUCAAGUCAUUUCAAAUUGGUUUGGCCGUCUUCAACAUUGUGAAUCAUGAGUUAUAAUUGAAGAUAAUCUUUUUUCCUGCAAAUAGUUAAUUUGGCUUGAAAUAAACUUCUCUCAUUCCAAAGGUAGAUAGGUUGUCCUUUUCAAAUUUCAUUAUUUGAAUUUAACAAAGAACGUGGAAUUUACUCAGAAUUUUACAACUAAUUAAUUAAACGAGUUUAAUUAUAUUUCACUUUCAAAUUUAAUCAGCAAGGAAAAAAAUGAAACAAUAAGUCCUUUUCAUAAUAUAUGUUAUGGUCAAUAAUAUAUAUAUGAACUAUAAACUCUUCGAACAAACUCAUACAAUAUAAGACUAUUGAUUGGAUGAAAAUAUCACGUAACAAUGACAUAAUUCAAUUUUAUUAUCUUAUGUUUCUAUAUGACCAAUAGUUCCAAACGUUCAGUUAAAAUUGCAGACUUACUCACAUUAGAUUAAUUAUUCAUUAAUUUAAGUUCAAAUUAUUUUAAAAAUAUCUCAUCUAUUUAUAAUUUUUAGCUCAAUUGGCUUGAUGGACAGUUACAAAUAAAUAUAGCCUCAUAAUCUUAUUUCAUGCACUUGACAGUUGAGAGCAGUAAAAGCCGUGAUCUGGGAUAUGUCUUUUGACUUAUUUCAUAUAACUCCAUUCUAUCUUAAGUUAGGGUGCGUUUGAUAUUGAGGUGUAAAUUUUACAAUUGUUGUCGAAAAAAAAACUGUACCUAUGAAAUAAAAAAUUGUAAUAUAUAAUAAAUGUAAAAUUUAAAUAAUAAUUUAAAUAAAAUUAUUAAAGAUAUAAUAGAUUUUUUAUUAUACAAGUAAAAAAUUAUAUCAAUAUAAUUUUUAAAUUACAUCAAUUAGUAUUUACCAAACAUUUUAAUGCUAUAGUUUUUAAGUUACAACUGCUCAACCCCCUUCCCAAACGCACCCUUAAUUACUUACCCCGAAUACUUCCAAUAUUUUCAGUAUACAACACAAAUUACACUCUCUUGAAACUUAAAAAUCUUUUCCAUUGAAACGCUAGUGGAUCAAAACCGGCAAACGGUAAUCAUAGGUGGCAACAUCCGGCCUCCACGUAUCAGGUGAAGCCACCUGUCGUCGUGGUCACCGUCGUGAGGAGAUACGUGGCCUCACACGUUCAGGGGCAGUGAAUUAUGGGCUCUCCAACUUUCAUUUAUCCUUGAAACGUGUCAAAUACUCAAAUCCCUGCAACUCCUCCUCCAUGUAUUAAAUCAAAGAAGAAAACAUGAAAAUUUUAAAUCUAAUGUAAAUUAAAUAAUUUAUCGCUAAAGAUAAGAUGCAGUCAGGAAGAGACGCGGCGGAGUCCAUAAAGGCCAAAACCGCUGCUUCUGCUGAUUAGGUAGGCACGGAGAAGGCCAAGGCCUCGGUGAUAGGUCCCAGUCAGAACUACACUUAUACAAUGCGUAUGAUUCUCUUUGGAUGAGAAUAAAUCACCAGAUAAUAUUUAGAUAAUUUACUGAAUGACUUAUUAUUGCACUCAAAAACUUAUUUAUACAUUUAAUCACAACCCACUACUCCAAUAAACAGCCGAAAAUAGAGGCUUCUAGUGCGUACACUAAGCGAAUAACAGAAUAUAAAACAAAUGCAACAACCUACUUACUAAACCACUCAGCAAAACAAGUAGCACAAGAUGAUUUAAAUGCAACAACUAAACAAACUAUGAAUCCUCCAACGUCCACUUUAAGUCGAUAACUAUGCAAACUAACCACUAGUGAAUAUUGCUCCGGUUCCUACUCCCUUGCAUGCAUGAGUUUCACGUCCUGCAUGCCCAUGUCACACGUCUAGACCUCAUCCUUGAUACUUGGAAUUUGGUUUUGUCACACUUGUUGUCUUACAUGGCUCUCCAGCCUCAUCACUCCAUCAGAGAGAAGGCAGAGAGAAUGAAGAGGAGUGAUCCGGCGGAGAAAGAAGCAGCGACGAGGGAGAAAGAGGAGAGGGAUAAACAAGCACAGUGGAACAAGAAGGAGGCACAUUUCCACAAUGAAGAAGCCUGGCGGGUAGCCCAAUCAGGGGGCGGGGGCGGGGGCGCGCAUCCUGGUUACAAGACAUGGGGUUCUCAUUCUCAAGCUCGUGAUGAUAGUAAUGCAACUACAACUGCAACUGCACCUGCACCUGCACUGGGACUGAAGGUCGUUACACCCCGGCCACGAUGGGAGUUGGGCAUGCCACUGUUGCCGGGGAUUCACGUCAGCCCAGGGGCCCUGUUAGAAGUGAUGCUCCUAGGUUUACUUAAGAUAUAUGGAAUAUGUAGUGUGUGAAGAAUCUGCAUGCACGUGUAGUCGUUUUGAAUGAUGUGUCCCUGUUGUCUAAUUUCGAAUGUCUGUUUCUUUGAAUGGUCUGUCUGUUGUUCUUUUGAGUACUUUAGCAACAAAUUGUUUCUGAUGAUUAAGCUUUCAUUAGUUCGGUUGUUGUUGAUUGAACGCUUACAUUAAUUUUCAAGAACAAAAGAAAAUGAGAAAAAGAAAAAGGAAACUUCAGAAAGAGCCUGAAAACCAUCACUGUAGAAAUAGAAAAUGCCGUGACAUGGAACAUUUGAGAUAAAAAAAUAACGCCAUUUUACUCACGCGUUUUUCUUUUUCUUGUUUUUUCCUCAGCAUUAAUAUUAUACCUUCGAAGAUCAAAAGGGGACUGAAAGGGCGUGUCAGGUAGGUCAAGGACAGAGAGGUGUGUUUGGCAGGUUGGUUCGCUGGGAUCAGCAGGGCAUUAUUCAAGGUUAUAAUUUGUGCUAUAGGGGUUUCUUUUAGGCGUGUAAUAUAUUGUUUAGGAAAAUGUUAGGGAGCCAGAGGAACGAGAGAAUGACAAGAGAAACGGUAUUCUCUGCUGCCGUUUCGCUUCUCGUUCCUCUCGCUACCUAAAACAUUAAAAUAAUAAAAAAAAUAAUAAAGAAAGAAUGCUUUAUUGCUACGUACAGAGGGAAAUCUUAUCAACUUAUCUCCAGCCUAGACUUUCCUCUCUCCCUCACGCUCCCCUCUCACGCAAAUCACCAUCUUCUCAACUGGUCGACAUCCUCUCUCCCUCACGGCUUCCGGCAAAAAUAUUUCGGAUUGCAGAACAAAUUAAAGUACAUACCUUUUUUUUUCAUUUAAAUGGCCACAUGUAAUAAGCUAAGUUGUAGUUUCAGUCUCGGAUUUGGAUUUAUCAAGAUGGUAUCCAAAAGUGCCAUCCUCGGGUUUUGAUUUGGAAACCUGACCAUUAUCAGUUGGUUUUGUUUUUCGUUUUGGGACUGUAAACAUAGCCUUCAAGAUUUGGUUUUCCAGUUUCAGGAUUGGAAUUGUAAACUAUAAACACUUGCAGAGGCAAGGAUUAGCAAUGAUAAGAGAAUCAAAGAAGCAAUAUUGAAAAGGAAGCAGGUGGUGAUAUACAGCCAUUAAUUACAAGAGAAGCAGAUAAUUAAAUAGAUAUACAUGUCAUAAGAUGCCACCAUAUGGAUGAUCCCCAAUGUAUAAGUAACUCAGCAGCGCUUACGAUUGAUUUUCAGGUGGAUGUAAAAUGGGCGAACUUGAAUUAUUAGGCUCUCAUAAGGAAGGCUUUCAUAGUUAUGUGUGGCGACGUGACAUUCAAAAAAAUUAGACUUUGUCGUUGCUCAUCAAUAAUUACAGACGAAGUAGAUCAUCUAACUCUAAUAUCCUUUUGCUCAAUAAUAACCCUAAGUUGAUUCAUUAAGACUUCAUUUAAUUUUCAAUUGAUUUUCGUAUUUAAAAAAAUGAGCCGAUACAUCCUGUCAUCACUUCUAUUUGUGUUAAAUAUUUCAUUUUGAUGGCCGUGAGCAGUUCGUGAAAGGCUGGCUGGAGAGGGAGGAGGUUGUGAGCAGUUCGUGAAAGGCUGCCUGGAGAGGCCGCGAGCAGUUGCCAGUUGCUGGCUGGAGAGGGAGGAGGCUGUGAGCAGUUCGUGAAAGGCUGCCUGGAGAGGCCGUGAGCAGUUGCUAGUUGCUAGCUUGAGAGGGAGGAGGCCGUGAACAGUUCGUGAAAGGCUACCUGGAGAGGCUGUGAGUAGUUGUUGGUUGCUGCCUAGAGAGGGAGGAGGCCGUGACCGGUUGCUGGCUGGAGAGGGAGGAGGUCGUGAACCAUUGCUUUGGCUGGAGAGGGAGGCCGUGAACAGUUGAGAAGAUAGUGAUUUGCGUAAUUUGCGUGAGAGAGGAAAGUGAAGAGUGAAGCCUGCGUGAGAGAGAGAGAGGAAAGUGAAAGCCUGCUAGAUUUCACUCGCCAUUUCUUUAUUCAAUUUUUUUUAAUGUUUUAACGAGUGAGAGGAACGAGAGGCAAAACGGCAGCAACUGCUGCCGUUUCUCUCGUCCCUCUCGAUACCUAGCAGCACUCUAUUGUUUAAAGUUUGCGUCAACGAAUCAAAUUUAAAAUCGCUUAUGUCAUUAUUAUGUCUCAUGUAUUAUUAUGCCUUAGGUUGAGUUGAAAAUUUGAUUUUUUUUUGUUAUUUUAUAGUUUUAAGUUAGUUUCUUACUUUUUUUUAUUGUUUUUGAUAUUUUUAUUUUUUUUAGAUAUCAUAUUUUAGUGACAUUUAUUUUGUUUUCUUUAUUUAGAUUUGGAUAGUUCUAUUAUGAAACAGUAUUUCUAAUUUAUCUAUUUUGAUAAACUAACUAUAUUUAGAAUUAGUAUUAAAAGGAUUUAAAGCCUUAGUAACGUUGAUUUAUUUAUUCGUAAUUGUGGGUUAUUUUAUAAUCUUAAAGAAGGAUAAAUUUUAAUAAGUCUCAUUCUAUUAUAAAUUAAAGUGAAUUGAUAAUUAAGAUUUGAGACAGUAUUUUAUAGAGAAGUGAAUUAAUAAUUAAGUGAUUUGACACAUUAGUUUAUAGAUCGAUAAAAAAAAACACUAAAAAAAUGAGUUCGAAGGCUAUACGUAGGAAAUACACAUUUAAGUUGGUUAAAUUACUGAUCAAAAGUUUAAACUAUAAGUCAAAAAGUAAGAGUUCAAUAAUUGUACUGAAUAUAAGUUUUAAACCUCUUAAAAUUUAUUUUUAUAAUUUAAGUCUCCAAUAAAUUUUUUAAUGCUUCAUUGUUCUCUUAUGUUAAAGGAGUAAAAUAAAAAUUGCAAUGUUAAGGAUAAUAUUAUCAUGACAUUUUCACAUACUGUCGAUAGCAAACUGAUUAAAAGACAAUUUAACAAAGGCAAGGCAAAAAAAAGAGAAAUGAAUAGAAACAAGUGCAAUAAUUAUACAAAUAGAUAUAAACUGAAUCUAAAAGAAGGCAAAUCAUUAAUUAGCGUCGUUAUGAAUAAAAGAGAGUAAGCGAGUGUGAAGCAUCGAUCAUUCUUUUUCCUUAUUUUAGAAAUACAUAUGUCGGUUUCAGAAAUUAAUAAGAUAAAUGAAAACUCGUUUCUUUUUCUUAAGAAUAAUCUCCUAGAAACGAACUUGAAUUAAGUCUCACUUUUGCGUGAAAUUGAGUUCACAGAAGUUGCAAACUUCCAAAAUUAUUUUCAGAUUUACGUGAAGGCCCAUCAUAUCUAUCAAAUUAAAUUAGAACUACAACUCUUCUGGAUCGAAACACAUGCAAGUGGAUCAAAAGCAUUCAACGGCAACGAUCACACAUGCAACUUCCGGCCUCUUGUCGCCACCGGAAGCCGCCACGUCAGAGAAAUAUUCUCAAAAACAAACAUCCUUAUCAUCCUAGUAAUCAAAGCCAUAGAAGACACGUCGCCUCACGUGUCAUGGACAGUGAUGUUUAUAGAACUCCACUUGUCACUUGUGUUGUACACGUGUCGAAAACCCAGUAUCCCUCCAAAUCUAUUUAAACCAGACCAAAAACUUGCAAAAUUUUUCGAGCACGGUUGGUUCUUCAACAUCGGUACGUACUAAUAUCAAGACAGCCAACUUAGUUCAACAAGAAGGAAGAUGCAGUCAGGAAGAAACACAGUAGAAUCCGCCAAAGAAUCGGCGGCCGCCUCUGCCAAGGCCGCCAUGGAGAGGGAGAAGGCCACCGCUAAAGAAAAGGUCUUUAUAUCUUUUUUUUUAAUUAUUAAUCCCACAGCAUUACGCAACAAUGUUACCUAUAAACGUAAUCUGAUGCAGGGGGAGAAGUUAACGACGAGGGACCCGAUGGAGAAGGAAGCAGCAACCCUGGAGAAGGAGCAAAGGAAGACGCAUGCGCAGCUGAACAAGGAAGAGGCAAAAGCACACAACGAAGCGGCGAGGCGGCUGGGGGAGACCGGAGGGCCCCAUCCGGGUUACGAGACACGGGGUACUGAAGGUCAAGAAUACAGGACAACAACUGCAACUGACACUGCGCCUGCGACCGGCCAUGAGGGUUACGCGGCCGAAUCCCGUUAUCCUAGGGGACGUAAUCCUCCUAGCUAUUAGUCUGUUGGUUUUUUGUAUAUAGAUUCCCGGAAUGUCCAGGCGCUUAUGGCUUCUUGGAGUGUCGUUAAUAAGCGAUGGUUAUAUCUGGUUUAGUGUUUGUAUACUUCGGUGUGUUUAAAUUUGUUGCUUGGGCUGUACAAAUAGUAUUGCAGGGCUUAUGUUGUAUGAUUCUGUUGUUCUAAUUCAAUAAAACUGGUAUGGUGUAUAUAAGUUUAAAUACCACUUUGCUUAAUUUUAUGAUGUUUUAAUUUGUUGGCUAAGCCAGUUAAUUAAUUAUUGGAUGUGUUCCAUUAAAUGAUUGUAAAAUUCAUGGUAACAACAUGAACUGGGAAAAAAAGGUAAGUGAAACUUGUAUCACGUGGAAUAUGGCGAUGAUCUAAUGAUCAAACAUCCAUGAAUCACAAAUCCCGUUAUUGCUUACAAGCUCCUAUCUUUUUCAUUCGACCCCCUACUCAAAUUGGGCUUUAAUUCUUUCAUUAUUAUUAUCGUGUCCAAACUUUUUAUGCAGGAUUUUGUAUCUGGAUUUUUCUAAGUUAUAGUAACCUACAGCCCCUUCAAAAAUAUGCGGGUUCCACUAUGUGUUAACAACAUUUUACAGGCUGCAAAUUACAGCAGCACCAUUUUAUGCAAUCAGUAUUUUCAUCGAUUGAAUACUUGCAAUUAAUUUCAACAUACAUUAAGACCAAUUUAUGCAGUCAUAAUUGCGAUUAUUUUUUUAAUUUUUUUUCCCGAAAACAUUUAUGAAAAAGAGAGAUUAAGAUCCAUGGUGACACAAAUAUAGUGGCUGUUUUUUAAUUCAGAUUCACCUCUUUCUUCUCAUUAGGACCCGUCGGGUUUGGUAUACAUAUGUUGAAUAUAGAGACUGGAAAUUGGGCAUUGGGGUGAUUGGAGGGAGGAUACAUUGUUAGAACAUGCUGGGGAUAGAAUUGAUCUGGUAUGAUAGGCAGGCGUUCGUUGCUAGGCAGCUUACCAUACGUCAUUAUCGAACAUUGGGCGCUCCACAGCUGCUCGCGUGCUAUGAAACAAAAUAUAAUCAGAUCUCGACUUGUUGACAAAACAAAGAGCCUAGUACUCAACCCAAGCAAGUUAAACCAUCCCGAACUAUUAUAUUUUAGCGCAGGCCAGCAAUCGUAUAGCCCAUGUGCCUAAAGGCCUACAGCUAGCCGAAAUAGAAACUUGCGUAAUUAGUCUCACUACAUCAUGUGAUUAGUCGCAGAUGACUAGCGUCGUCUGCAGCUAAUAUGCAUUCAGUCAAGAGGCUCCGUGUAAACACCCACAGCUAAUGGAUUCUCACACAAUAAUCUGCACUUAAUGUAUCAAUAUUUAUUACAAAAAGAAAGCAACAAUGACAUCCGCUGAUAUCAAUUUAAAAGACCUGACCUACACUAUAAAUUCGGUACCCGAAAUACCUAACCUACACUAUAAAUUCAGUAUUCAAGGUACCCAACAUACACCAUAAUCUCGGUACUUGAAGUACCCGACCUAUACCAUAAAUUUGGAUACAUGAGGUACACUUGAAGAUUAAGAAGAUAUGAGGGGUACCACAGAUUAGACGCGAAACGGUCAAAGAAAAGUCUCCAAAGAGUCAGUUGCGAGAAACGCCUUUAUUAAUAUAGAGUUUUAUAGUUGGAGUCAUCAAAAUAAUGUUGGCUUACACCGAGUACCCAGAUGCUCUGUGGGGUACCUUGGGUACACCGAGUAAGGGUAAAAAGGUUAGAAAAAUAUUUAAAAAAGUAUUAGAGGAUGAAAAAGAUAUUAUCCAAAAAAAAAGAUUGACUGAUUUUCUAGCUUAAAAUAAGGAAUCGACGACGAAAUCGUAUUUUAUAAAAGAGGAGAUAGCCGCCUGUCACACCAGCAAAUAAGGCAAAAGGUUAGGUAUUAUGACAAUUGAGACCACCAACUUUUCCUGUCAUAUCUGUAAAUUUACAACAGAAUUACAGAGGUAUGCGAGACCACUCCAUUACGCCUAGCACGUGAAUACACCUCAAACUUGCUCUCCACGCAUAUUUUUGAAACGCCCAAGCCGCCAUACGCAUGAAAAUAAAAAUAUUCUUGACAUGAUAUUAAGGAAGGCUAAUAAGAUAACACCAUGUGGCACGACGACCGAGGUACACCUUAUAAAUACUCAUGUUUAAUUUUUUUUGUCAAGUAAGUUAACACAUAUACCACAAAAACUAGGGUUCCUUCAACCUCUAAGCCUAAAAGCCUUCAUUACCGAGAGUUUGCAAACUCUCUAAUUUGAGAUAACCCAACUCUGAUUUGAGCGUCAGGGUGUGGUCACCGGCCACUCCCAACUCCACCUCUGACCUCUUUUUUUUUUUUUUGCAGUUUCGCAUGUUUAAGACGAUUUUUUUCGAGUCUUCUGCACCUGAAGUCGGACCCUCGCAAUAUCGACUACUAUCUCAAACCUUAUUCACUCCACAAAAAGUCUAAACAAUCUGUACACGUCGAACAAGCGAGACAUCCCACUUUCCCAAAAAAAAAAUUAUUAUUCUUAUCUUAAUUUUGUAGUAUUCAUACACGUACCCAAAAUCCUUUGAAAACAUUAUUUAAUAGACAAGUGACACGUUAAAACUCAAACAGUAAAAAGCCUUACGUAAUUGUAAUCGCAAUAUUGCAUGUGUUAAUAAUACUUGUGCCCACAAUUUUGUCACACAAGUUGAGGUCGUAGCUUUAAUGAUCUUAUCCAAAACGGCCCUGUUUAUCUUGUAACAAUAACCCGACGGUGAGUAAGUCCAUUUCGAUGUUGGAACAAAACUGCAACACGUAACGAGUCAAACUGAGAAGUUAUCGGAUGAAGGAAGACCAUCCAGAAAUCCGGACACGACACGCGUAGAAACGGCCGGUUUCCAGUCGCCACAAAUCCUAUCAACCACCCACGUAAGUUACAAAUUAUCCAAAUACUAUUUAAACAAUAUGAAACGUGGCGAAAAGUAGUAAGAAGUAAAAGAAACAGCACCUACGUGUAUUUUUUCCUCGGGCACGUGUCAUAACCUCUGAGACCCCUCUUCCUCUAUUUAAUGAAACUACGAGGCUACUAUCUUCUUCGUCGAUUACACAAAACGAUAUCGGUUUACGGUUAGCAUAAUUGCAUUCAAGGCAAAGAAGAAAUUUGAAGAAAGUGAAAAUGCAGUCCAUGAAGGAAUCGGCAGCUAACGUUGCGGCCUCUGCCAAGGCUGGCAUGGAGAAAACUAAAGCCACGGCCCAAGAGAAGGUUUCACUCUCUUAAUUACUAUUGUUUUCUUUUAUUUAUGAUUUGACCCCAUAACUUUCAGCAGUUUAACAAAUAUGGUGCAGGUUGAUAAAAUGAAAGCGCAUGAUCCAGUAGAGAAAGAAAUGGCGACGGAGAAGAAAGAGGAAAGAAGAAUGCAAGCGGAGCUCGAGAAGCAGGAGGCUCGUGAGCACAAUGCGGCGGCAAAGCAAGCGACGGGUGGGCUUGGCUAUACAACAGCUGACAGCUACUCGCACUCGACCACUGGGAUGCACGGUCGUCCGACUGGAGGCCAGCAGAUGUCAGCCCUUGCCGGUCAUGGAACAGGGCAACCGGCUGGGCAGAUGACUGAAGGGGUGGUGGGGUCGCAUCCGAUGGGAGUCAAUACUGGGACGGGCCACAACCCCGCACAUAACACGCGAGUUGGGGGCGGUGGGGGAGCCACUGGAUAUGGCACUGGUGGUUCUUACAAUUAGAUUUUUUUUAUGAAGUUGGCCUUUGUGUUUUAUGUAAUAAGGGUCAAUUUGUAAGAAUGAGGUUGCAUGAUCCUCUAGCGUACUUUCUGUUUGGUUUCGUGUUUAUCUGGCUGGCAGCGUAUUAUCAUGUGAUGUAAUGUAUGAUGUGUUGUUGCCCUUCUAUAAUAUAUGUUGAAUAAAAAGUUGCUUGUUUUGUGAAAGGAUAUCUAUGCAUGAGAAUGAGUGAACAAAAGAGUAUUGGGCCAAGGCAAUUUGAAGAAGUGAAAUUGGGAGGCUGAAACUGAAAUCAAUUUUUUUUUUAUAAGAUUAAAAAUAUCACUCAAGUGUGAGAUAUCGGAGAUAGCAUAAGAUAAGAAAACUAGACCAGCAUCGCUUUUCUGGAAUCUGGCGCGCGAGUGCAAGAUUAAACAAACUGAAAGGUAAAGAUAAGAUGUUACAGGUACAAGAGGCUUUCCAUAAAUUAGUAUGGAAUUUCCACUAAAAGCAUUUAGAAAUUGGAAUAGUUGGGUGGCCUACUUUGCACUUUCGGUGUUAAAAAAUUCUUUAUUUCUGAUUGGGAUCCAGGAUUUCUCUUUAAUAUUGGACCGACAGAAGUCUAUUUAUUACCUUAUCGUCUCCAUUCUCAGGGUGACGAGAAAUUUUAUGUUAUUAUGGAAUUAUUAACUAAUUAUAAUUUGAUAUGGCAAUAAUUUUUAAACCUGAAGAUUAGUGUGGUAAAAGUCAAACAACUUUUUUUGCCCUUUCACUCUUCUUUCUUCUGAUCUGACUUCCGUUUCUUCUCGCUUCGGUGCUCGUUCUUCCCAUUGACAACUCUAUUCCUGACAGAAACAUGCCUAAUCACACUUUGAUGCUCCUUAUGCUUCUUAUUCACAAAUCCAUUUCCCCGCAAAACAUGUCGCUAGCUUUGUUAGAGAUGUCACAACAUCCGAUUUGUAAAGACUUCCCUGAAGACUCCUCCAUUAUUCUCUCUCUCCAGCCCUCAAUUUAUUUUUGCCUACUGAUUAAUCACAUAACAACAUCAAGUCUGGACAAUUAUUAUGCCUCAGCGAACUGAUGCAUGCAGGAACUGAAAUUUACAGUAGAGUAUUAGCAUCAUUGAGUGUUUCUAGAAUAAGGAUUGUCAAGGAACAAUUAGCGAAAAGCUUUUGGAGGAUGAUAUGGAAACAAUGAGUAUGUUCGAGAAUUCAAAGAAAAUAGAUGACCGUUCUGUUGAUGCCGAAAUCCGGAUAAGUUGGUCAGAUUUUAGAUCCCUGCAUCAUCAUUAAAUUUGUUUGGUGGGAAGCUGAUGAUUAGUUAACACCAUGAGCAGAUUUUCUAUGAACAGAUGUUCUGUGAGCAAAAAACCCAUGAGCAGAUAAUCCAUGAGCAGACGAUCCAUGAGCAGAGAACCCAUGAGCAGACAAGCCAUGAGCAGAUAACCCAUGAGCAGACGAUCCAUGAGCAGAGAACUCAUUAGCAGGCAAUCCAUGAGCAAAUAACCCGUGAGCAGACGAUCCAUAAGCUGAGAACUCAUGAGCAGGCAAUCCAUGAGCAGAUAACCCAUGAGCAAACGAUCCGUGAAUAGAUAACCCAUGAGCAGACAAUCCAUGAGCAGAUAACCUGUGAGCCUGUGAACACAACCAACGGUCAAGAGGUGCCGGAAGUUUUUCCGGCGAGAACCCUCCGACGCUCAAGUCAGGGAUUCGGGUCUUACUUGGAAAAACCCAUACCACAAUUCAUGUGGCUUAAUUAUGAUUGCUUUAAACAAAAAGCUUUUAAGUAAAUUUAAAGGAAAAGAAUUUGAAAUAAUCAAUCUUAAAGAAAUCACAGGAGAGAGAGAAAUUUCUCAGUGGUAAAGAGAGAAAAAUGUCCAAUGGGUUCAGUUGCUUCGAGAGAGAGAGAGAGAGCUAGCAGAAUCCCCCUUUCUUUUCCCUUCCUAGGGUUUUUAUAGGAAACUAUAGCGGUUUUCAUCCACUCUCUUAGAAUUAUUAAGAAAACUAUUAAUUUUUAGCCCACUAAGAAUAUGGUCCCUAAUAUUUCGGAGAAAAUGUUUUGACUGAAUCGUGCUUUCUGGUAAUUUCCUGGUCGAGGUCACCACAUAUUAUCCUAGUCGAGGUGAUGUGCUCAAGGUCACCACAUAUUUUCAUGGUCGAGGUGACCAAUAAUAUCCUGGUCGAGGUGAUCUGCUCAACCAUUUGCUCGCUUUUACUCUGGAGGAGAGCAUGAUAAUGUAUGAGCAAACACCUUUAUCUUGGUCACCCUAUUUCAUUCCCUAAACACCAGUCCCCCAGUUUCUAGUGUUGAGAGUGAACGAAUCAAGACUGGAAACUUUGGUGGUUUGCUCGCCUUCGCUUGGUUGAGUAGAUCCUGGCAUGCUUGGCUUCCUGUCUCGCUAUAAAACAGUCUUUGAGACUUUGGAGCCUUUGCACGCCUUAGGAAUUUUUAUAACACUUGAGGGUCUGCUCGCCUUCGCUUGGUCAAGCAGAUCUUGGCACGUUUGGCUUCUGGUCUCGCCAUAAACAGGCUUUGAGACUUGGUGAGCCUUUGCAUGCCUUAGUAAAUUUUAUAACACUUGAGGGUCUGCUCACCUUCGCUUGGUCGAGCAGAUCCUGGCACACUUGGCUUCUGGUCUCGCCAUAAACAGGCUUUGAGACUUGGUGAGCCUUUGCAUGCCUUAGUAAAUUUUAUAACACUUGAGGGUCUGCUCACCUUCGCUUGGUCGAGCAGAUCCUGGCACACUUGGCUUCUGGUCUCGCCAUAAACAGGCUUUGAGACUUGGUGAGCCUUUGCAUGCCUUAGUAAAUUUUAUAACACUUGAGGGUCUGCUCACCUUCGCUUGGUCGAAGCAGAUCCUGGCACGCUUGGCUUCUGGUCUCGCCAUAAAUAGGCUUUGAGACUUGGUGAGCCUUUGCAUUCCUUGAAAACUUUUUGGAACUUUGGUGGUCUGCUCACCUUCGCUUGGUCGAGCAGAUCCUGGCAUGCUUGGCUACCUGUCUCGCCAUAAAACAAGCUUUGAGACUUUGGAGCAUUUGCACGCCUUAUUAGUAAAUUUUGAUUGACUUCUCAACGCUAGCCUAGCUCUCUUUUCUUAAAUCAUUCUCAUAUUGAGUAACUUUCAAGAAAUCAAGUUCACUAAGUUAUACCGUCAGCCCUAAUAUGAGCACAAUCAAUUUAAUGAAUAUAAGGUAUUCUCAUCUCACAUAGUAGGAUUUAGAGAAAUAAUUAAAUUUUCAUGAAAGAAAUUACUUGUAAAUAAAAAUUUAACUUCUGACCUGUUCUGAUUUCUAUAAACGUGUGCCUUCAAUGUGCUCUCAUUUAAGGUUUUUACUUCCUUGUUUAAGCAAGCUCAUCCAUUUAUGCACUGUAACUUUCUGAUUUGCUUCGACUUAAUGAAAAUUGAUAGAGACGAAAAAUUGCUUCUCGUACCGGUCCCCACAGACGGCGCCAAAUGUUGAUGUCGAAAUCCGGAUAAGUUGGUCAGAUCUUAGAUCCCUGCAUCAUCAUUAAAUUUGUUUGGUGGGAAGCUGAUGAUUAGUUAGCACCAUGAGCAGAUUUUCUAUGAGCAGAUGUUCUGUGAGCAGAAAACCCAUGAGCAGAUAAUCCAUGAGCAGACGAUCCAUGAGCAGAGAACCCAUGAGCAGACGAUCCAUGAGCAGGCAAUCCAUGAGCAGAUAACCCGUGAGCAGACGAUCCAUAAGCUGAGAACUCAUAAGCAGGCAAUCCAUGAGCAGAUAACCCAUGAGCAAACGAUCCGUGAACAGAUAACCCAUGAGCAGACAAUCCAUGAGCAGAUAACCUGUGAGCAUGUGAACACAACCAACGGUCAGGAGGUGCCGGAAGUUUUUCCGGCGAGAACCCUCCGACGCUCAAGUCAGGGAUUCAGGUCUUACUUGGAAAAACCCAUACCACAAUUCAUGUGGCUUAAUUAUGAUUGCUUUAAACAAAAAGUUUUUAAGUAAAUUUAAAGGAAAGGAAUUUGAAAUAAUCAAUCUUAAAGAAAUCACAGGAAAGAGAGAAAUUUCUCAGUGGUAGAGAGAGAAAAAUGUCCAAUGGGUUCAGUUGCUUCGAGAGAGAGAGAGCUAGCAGAAUCCCCCUUUCAUUUCCCUUCCUAGGGGUUUUAUAGGAAACUAUAGUGGUUUUCAUCCACUCUCCUAGAAUUAUUAAGAAAACUAUUAAUUUUCAGCCCACUAAGAAUAUGGUCCCUAAUAUUUCGGAGAAAAUAUUUUGACUGAAUCGUGCUUUCUGGUAAUUUUCUGGUCGAGGUCACCACAUAUUAUUCUGGUCGAGGUCACAACAUAUUAUCCUGGUUGAGGUGAUGUGCUCGAGAUCACCACAUAUUAUUCUGGUUGAGGUGACUAAUAAUAUCUUGGUCGAGGUGAUGUGCUCGAGGUCACCACAUAUUAUUCUGGUCGAGGUGACCAAUAAUAUCCUAGUCGAGGUGAUCUGCUCAACCAUUUGCUCGCUUUUACUCUGGAGGAGAGCAUGAUAAUGUAUGAGCAAACACCUUUAUCUUGAUCACCCUAUUUCAUUCCCUAAACACGUUCCAAUCUUGAUGUUCUUGCUAAUGAGAAAUUGGUUUUGAAUCCAACAAUUGACAAAUGCUAGAAUAAAAGUUAAUUCUUAACAAGCGAAAAAGAAGAACUACAAAAAGUACAAAUUUAAUUAUUUGUCUUUUUUUUUCUUCUUUUUUUUUUCCCGCAUAAAGUGCUCUACUAUGACUGUCUUUCAGAUAAGCUUCAUCUGUUAGUAAGUACUCUCUCUUAUGCAAAGCAAAACAAAAAUGCAACCUCUAAUGGUCCAUCACAUCCAACAGCCAUGCAGCAAUUUUCAACAUUCAGUCCAUCGAUUCAUGACUUAACUUAUACUAGCAUCUUCAAGGAAAUUGAUCGAAUGCCUCAUUUGAAUUAGGUAAUACUUGAAAAUCAAUAUGCACACUUAAAUCUCUUAACUUGUUUUAAUCAAAAGAGCAUAUUUAUCUAAUAUAGCGUGGUCCAUGCAUCUUCAUCUUUGCUGACAGUUGCAUUUGGACAGUGACCUCACUUAAGUCAGGUUUUAUUAAUUUUCCUUUUAGCUUUUUGAAUUGAUUAUUUAGAUAACUAUAUUGAAUUAAUUAUUUAAAUAACUAUCUAUGUGUUCUCUAAUAUUUAAACAGACAAUGUAAGAUUCAAACAACCAUGAUAUGGAUAGAAUUGGAUGCCAAGGAAAUUGAAUGUUAUAUAACAUCUUUUUCUUUAAGCACGAUGGUAAGUGGGUUGUGUAUAUCUCAGUUAGUAUAUUUUCAUUGUUUAUAUUCACUGGUUAAUAUAUGUUUUUAUUUUUUUAACACCGCACUGAUAGUUUUUUUUUUUUUUCCUUUUUUGCAUGUGUAGGUUGCCAAGGCAUUUAUCGAAUAUGGUAAUAUACAGAUUUAUUAGUGUGGUUAUAUUUAUAAUGUUGCUUUUGGCACAAGAAUCUUUGUUCACAAUAGUGUUUAUUGUUAGAUAAGUUUUUUUUCCUUCAGCUUCUCAAAUUUAUUCGAAAGGUACUGUUGGUUAAAUUGUAUAUAAUUGAGGAGCUUGUGAGUUUUUAGUUUUUAGUUUAUUUUUAGCACUAGUGCCUGCAUUUUGUUAUUUAAUGAAAAAGUAAUAUUUUGAUACGCGCCGAUUAAUUUUGAGCAGUAAUGAGAAACUACUUUAUGGGCUUUUAAAAUUUUGAAUAUUUGGUUAUUUUUUUUUACUGAAGUUGUUAUCAGUGAUUCUCUUUUAAAUGGUUUCCCUAUAAUAUUAUUCAAAAUUCAAAAUAGAAUUCCAUUUAUAAUGUUUGCCCAAGGAUAAAACAUACGUAAAUAUUUUACUUACAUUAAAUAUUAGAAUUUUUAAGUACUUUAUAUAAUCGUGACACAUGUUUGUCUGUCAAGAAAUAAUGAAUCAAACUAUUACAAAAAAAAUAUUCAGCAUCAAUAACUUAUCUUGUUUCACAAUACAUUAAAUAAACAUGUGGUGGGCAAAAGGAAAAUUUGGUGAAUGAUCUUGAUUCACUUUGCAAAUGUUUGAAGUAUGACAACCCCUAGUCUUAAUUCAUUUUGAAAUCUGAAAAUAAUUUUGCUUUGAUGCUGAUUUUGCUUCCCGUUCAUUCCAUUCCCCUACAAAAACAUGCAACAAAUUAGCAUUUUUUUUCCAGAGGAAUGUAGUUGUGAACGGGAAGCAAAAGGAGCAUCAAGGCAAGAUUGCCAAAGAUUUGAUUUUACAGGCGGAUGGAGUUGUGAAUGGGACGACGAAGGAGCAUCAAAAUGAGAUUACCAAAGAUUUGCGUAGACACUUCAUUCAAUUAGUUAUUUUUAUCUUUCUAUAAGUAAUGUUUCUUAGUUUCAUGUUCUUGAAAUUUAGAAGAGAGAAGAAAAGUUUUUCAAACCAGAGGAAAUACAGAGAAAGGAAGGGAAUUGUUUGACUUUUAAUAAACUUUUUUUUUUAAGUUAAAAAAUUAUUGAUACAUGUCAAAAAAUAAUUAAUUAGUAGUUCUGCAUUUU